UACGUAGGGGGCAAGCGUUGUCCGGAAUUAUUGGGCGUAAAGGGCUCGUAGGCGGUCUGUCGCGUCGGGAGUGAAAACUCAGGGCUUAACCCUGAGCCUGCUUCCGAUACGGGCAGACUAGAGGUAUGCAGGGGAGAACGGAAUUCCCGGUGUAGCGGUGAAAUGCGCAGAUAUCGGGAGGAACACCUAUGGCGAAGGCAGCUCGCUGGGACGUUACUGACGCUGAGACGCGAAAGCGUGGGGAGCAAACAGG
rnacentral:rRNA from 1 species